rnacentral:rRNA from 1 species
AUGCAUGCCUACGCUGCACUGUACAGAGCCGUCCCAGUCCACCGGCCUCACUUCUCCUGUUUAUAUACCACCGGCGAGCGCGAUCGCGAUCGCUUGCUCAAACCACCGCCCCGGGCCACUGCUUCCUCCUUCCUGAUCCACACACACGCGGCCUUGCUAGCUCUCCGGCCGUCCACCAUGGAGAGAGAGGCAGAGGCGCGCCGCCAGCUGCUGCUCCACAGCGUGAGCCUGGACCUGCGCCUCGGCACGGCCACGCACAAGCACGGCGGCGCGCGCGCGGCGUCCCCUGCUACUCCAGCGGCGCUCGACAACGCCGGCAGGGAGGCCUUCGCCUGCAACUACUGCCACCGCAAGUUCUUGAGCUCGCAGGCGCUCGGCGGCCACCAGAACGCGCACAAGCUCGAGCGCACCCUCGCCAAGCGCAGCCGCGACGUCCCCUCCUCUUCCACGGCCGCCCACAGCUGGCUCCACGCCGGCGGCGGGGAGCUCUGGGGGUACUCUGCUUUGGCCGCUGCUCCGGACUCCGCGACGAUGGCGCCACUGAUGGGCAUGGGGAUGGGCUGGGCUGGCACCGCAGCGGCCGCCGGGGAGGCGGUGCCGGAGAUGGACCUGUCGCUCAAGCUCUGA